rnacentral:rRNA from 1 species
AUUGAACGCUGGCGGCAGGCCUAACACAUGCAAGUCGAGCGGAAGAAGGGUGCUUGCUCCUGGAUUCAGCGGCGGACGGGUGAGUAAUGCCUAGGAAUCUGCCUGGUUGUGGGGUAUAACGUCCUGAAACGGGCGCUAAUACCGCAUACGUCCUUAGGGAGAAAGUGGGGGAUCUUCGGACCUCACGCUAUCAGAUGAGCCUAGGUCGGAUUAGCUAGUUGGUGGGGUAAAGGCCUACUAAGGCGACGAUCCGUAACUGGUCUGAGAGGAUGAUCAGUCACACUGGAACUGAGACACGGUCCAGACUCCUACGGGAGGCAGCAGUGGGGAAUAUUGGACAAUGGGCGCAAGCCUGAUCCAGCCAUACCGCGUGUGUGAAGAAGGUCUUCGGAUUGUAAAGCACUUUAGGUGGGGAAGAAAGGCAGUAAGUUAAUACCUUGCUGUUUUGACGGUACCAACAGAAUAAGCACCGGCUAACUUCGUG